GGCAAACAUGUCCCAAUGGUGACAGUCUAUAAAAACUAGGCAUAUGCAACUUCGAAACAUUAUGCUAUAGAGCACUGCAACUCAGCUGAGCGUAUACCAAAACAUGUCUUUGAAGAUCAGUACAUUUAGCCUUUUCGCUCUCACACUCGUGUUCAUCUGUGGAUAUCACGUCACCACUGCCUUUCCUCAUAAAUGGAGCAGCCAGGUUGUCUGCUACAGAAAUCCAUGCAGUACUUCGGAUGACUGUCCACGAGGCUGCAGAUGUAUAUAUCACAGAGGUCCUGGGCCAGAGGCUCAGAAAGGGCCCGCACAAUCGGUGUGCUCAGCAUGAAAGAAAUAUAAAAACCUAUAAUUUUCUGCAAUAUCAAAAUAAAGCAAG